rnacentral:rRNA from 1 species
AGAGUUUGAUCAUGGCUCAGGAUAAACGCUGGCGGCGCACAUAAGACAUGCAAGUCGAACGGAAGUCGUUAAGAAACGGAAUGAAGAUUUAUCGGAAUGAAGUUUUUUAACAAAGACUUUAGUGGCGGACUGGUGAGUAACGCGUGAGCAACCUGCCUAUCAGAGGGGAAUAACAGUGAGAAAUCAUUGCUAAUACCGCAUAUGCUCACAGUAUCACAUGUUACAGUGAGGAAAGGAGCAAUCCGCUGAUAGAUGGGCUCGCGUCUGAUUAGCUAGUUGGUGGGGUAAAGGCCUACCAAGGCGACGAUCAGUAGCCGGACUGAGAGGUUGAACGGCCACAUUGGGACUGAGAUACGGCCCAGACUCCUACGGGAGGCAGCAGUCGGGAAUAUUGCGCAAUGGAGGGAACUCUGACGCAGUGACGCCGCGUAUGGGAAGAAGGUUUUCGGAUUGUAAACCAUUGUCGUUAGGGAAGAAGAAGUGACAGUACCUAAGGAGGAAGCUCCGGCUAACUAUGUGCCAGCAGCCGCGGUAAUACAUAGGGAGCGAGCGUUAUCCGGAUUUAUUGGGUGUAAAGGGUGCGUAGACGGGAAUUUAAGUUGGUUGUGAAAUCCCUCGGCUCAACUGAGGAACUGCAACCAAAACUGAAUUUCUUGAGUGCUGGAGAGGAAAGUGGAAUUCCUAGUGUAGCGGUGAAAUGCGUAGAUAUUAGGAGGAACACCAGUGGCGAAGGCGACUUUCUGGACAGCGACUGACGUUGAGGCACGAAAGUGUGGGGAGCAAACAGGAUUAGAUACCCU